rnacentral:rRNA from 1 species
CCUACGGGUGGCAGCAGUGAGGAAUAUUGGUCAAUGGGCGCGAGCCUGAACCAGCCAAGUAGCGUGAAGGAUGACUGCCCUACGGGUUGUAAACUUCUUUUAUCAGGGAAUAAAGUGCGGGACGUGUCCCGUUUUGUAUGUACCUUAUGAAUAAGGAUCGGCUAACUCCGUGCCAGCAGCCGCGGUAAUACGGAGGAUCCGAGCGUUAUCCGGAUUUAUUGGGUUUAAAGGGUGCGUAGGCGGCCUUUUAAGUCAGCGGUGAAAGUCUGUGGCUCAACCAUAGAAUUGCCGUUGAAACUGGGAGGCUGGAGUAUGUGUGAGGCAGGCGGAAUGCGUGGUGUAGCGGUGAAAUGCUUAGAUAUCACGCAGAACCCCGAUUGCGAAGGCAGCCUGCCAAGCCAUGACUGACGCUGAGGCACGAAAGCGUGGGGAUCAAACAGGAUUAGAUACCCUUGUAGUC